rnacentral:rRNA from 1 species
AAUGAUUUGAUUUAAUAGCCGCAGUAUUUUGACUGUGCAAAGGUAGCAUAAUAAAUUGUCUUUUAAUUGGAGGCUGGAAUGAAUGAUAGGAUGUGAUGGAUGCUGUCUUUAUGAUAGUUGAUUGAAAUUUACUUUUUGAUGAGAAGGUUAAGAUUUGAUUGGUAGACGAGAAGACCCUAUCAAGCUUUAUUUUAGUGUGAAUUUUGCUUUUUUUAUUUAGAGGGCGGAUUUUCAUUUGAAUUUUGUUGGGGCAAUGUUUGAAUAUAAUGUAAUUUUUUAUUUUUAUUUGGAGUAUGAUCCAUUAUUAGUGAUUGUAAGAGUAAGUUACUGUAGGGAUAACAGCGUAAUUAGUUUGGAGAGUUCAUAUUGGUAAAUUAGAUUGCGACCUCGAUGUUGGUUUAUUGAUUCUUUAGGGUGUAGCAGCUUUAUUAGAG